AGCGAACGCUGGCGGCAGGCUUAACACAUGCAAGUCGAACGGGCGUAGCAAUACGUCAGUGGCAGACGGGUGAGUAACGCGUGGGAACGUACCUUUUGGUUCGGAACAACACAGGGAAACUUGUGCUAAUACCGGAUAAGCCCUUACGGGGAAAGAUUUAUCGCCGAGAGAUCGGCCCGCGUCUGAUUAGCUAGUUGGUGUGGUAACGGCUCACCAAGGCGACGAUCAGUAGCUGGUCUGAGAGGAUGAUCAGCCACAUUGGGACUGAGACACGGCCCAAACUCCUACGGGAGGCAGCAGUGGGGAAUAUUGGACAAUGGGGGCAACCCUGAUCCAGCCAUGCCGCGUGAGUGAUGAAGGCCCUAGGGUUGUAAAGCUCUUUUGUGCGGGAAGAUAAUGACGGUACCGCAAGAAUAAGCCCCGGCUAACUUCGUGCCAGCCGCCGCAGUAA
rnacentral:rRNA from 1 species